rnacentral:misc_RNA from 1 species
AAAAAACAAAUUAAAAUAAAUGGUGCCCCCUCCCAUAGGAAGCCUCAAGAUCAACUGUGAUAUACCUUGGAAAGAGGGUUCUCCUCUUUCUGGCAUAACCGUGAUUGGUGAGGAAGAGCAUAAAUGCUUGUCCCCUUUAACAGGUGAGGCAGAGGCUCUUUUAGAAGCGAUUUUACUUGUAAAAGCAAGAGGUUUCAUAUCAAUUAUAUUAGAAUCAGAUUCUCAAACGUUUAUUAAGUCAGUUAAGGGUGCAUCAGCAAAUGCUCCUUGGGAGAUUCGUGCUACGGUCUAGGCUAUUAAAGCUCACCUUCCCAACUCCAAUUGGGUAGUGUUUUCUUAGUGCUGCCCACUGCUUGGUUAGCAUCAGUAUGGCAAAUCAACUUCAUUGUAACAGUAGGAUUAUUGACCUUCCUGAUCAGUUAAGGUCGAUUUGUAAUUUUGAUGUCCAUGGGCCGUGUAAUGCAAUUCGCAACUUGCGGUUAAAAAAAAAAAACAAU